rnacentral:sRNA from 1 species
UGUCUCAGCUGUGUCUUCAGUUUACACUGGAUUCCUGAAGAAGGAGGCUUCUACACCAGUGAAGGAGUGGACUUGCCGUUAGAGGCUGGACCCCUCCAAGCGAGUCCUUCUUACCUACUCCAAGUGAUCACUGCCCAUCCCCAGGUUGAAGAAGAGAAGUCAUCGAGAUGGCUCAGUGGAUAAAGUCUGUUGCCUCUCUCAGCAUGAAGACCUCAGUUUGAGUCUCAGAGCCCUCAUGGUAGAAGAAAAGAGCUGACAGCAAUAGUUGCUCUUUGAUCUCCAUGUGUGCACAGUGACACAUGUGCUCCUGCUCCCUCUAAUGAACUGAGAGAUGUAAUUAAAACUUUAAAAAAAAAUCCACUCUAUUUCAAAGUCAUACAAAUUCUUCAUUAGAUUUCAGUCAAAUAUAUUGUUUGUUUUUUAGGUCCACCUUAUUUUUAUAUCAAUCAUUUUCUAAAUGAAUUAUAACUUUCCCAAUAAUCAGAAAAGAAUAUUUCCAUCAGGUAUUAAAUGCGUAUACUGACCAGACA